AGAGUUUGAUCCUGGCUCAGGACGAACUUUGGCGGCGUGCCUAACACAUGCAAGUCGAACGGACGAGAGGAGCUUGCUCCUCAAGUUAGUGGCGGACGGGUGAGUAAUGUAUGAGCAACCUGCCUUUCAGAGGGGGACAACAGUUGGAAACGACUGCUAAUACCGCAUAACGUAUAUUGGGGGCAUCCCCGAGAUACCAAAGGAGCAAUCCGCUGAAAGAUGGGCUCAUAUCUGAUUAGUUAGUUGGUAGGGUAACGGCCUACCAAGACUGCGAUCAGUAGCCGGACUGAGAGGUUGAACGGCCACAUUGGGACUGAGAUACGGCCCAGACUCCUACGGGAGGCAGCAGUGGGGAAUAUUGGGCAAUGGGCGAAAGCCUGACCCAGCAACGCCGCGUGAAGGAAGAAGGUCUUCGGAUUGUAAACUUCUUUUAUAAGGGACGAAGGAAGUGACGGUACCUUAUGAAUAAGCCACGGCUAACUACGUGCCAGCAGCCGCGGUAAUACGUAGGUGGCAAGCGUUAUCCGGAUUUACUGGGUGUAAAGGGCGCGUAGGCGGGGAUGCAAGUCAGAUGUGAAAUCUAUGGGCUUAACCCAUAAACUGCAUUUGAAACUGUAUCUCUUGAGUGCUGGAGAGGUAGAUGGAAUUCCUUGUGUAGCGGUGAAAUGCGUAGAUAUAAGGAAGAACACCAGUGGCGAAGGCGAUCUACUGGACAGUAACUGACGCUGAGGCGCGAAAGCGUGGGGAGCAAACAAGAUUAGAUACCCUGGUAGUCCACGCUGUAAACGAUGAAUACUAGGUGUGGGGGGACUGACCCCCUCCGUGCCGCAGUUAACACAAUAAGUAUUCCACCUGGGGAGUACGGCCGCAAGGUUGAAACUCAAAGGAAUUGACGGGGGCCCGCACAAGCAGUGGAUUAUGUGGUUUAAUUCGAAGCAACGCGAAGAACCUUACCAGGGCUUGACAUCCAACUAACGAAGCAGAGAUGCAUUAGGUGCCCUUCGGGGAAAGUUGAGACAGGUGGUGCAUGGUUGUCGUCAGCUCGUGUCGUGAGAUGUUGGGUUAAGUCCCGCAACGAGCGCAACCCCUAUUGUUAGUUGCUACGCAAGAGCACUCUAGCGAGACUGCCGUUGACAAAACGGAGGAAGGUGGGGACGACGUCAAAUCAUCAUGCCCCUUAUGUCCUGGGCUACACACGUAAUACAAUGGCGUCUAACAAAGGGAAGCAAAACCGCGAGGUAGAGCAAAUCCCCAAAAGACGUCUCAGUUCGGAUUGCAGGCUGCAACUCGCCUGUAUGAAGUCGGAAUUGCUAGUAAUCGUGGAUCAGCAUGCCACGGUGAAUACGUUCCCGGGCCUUGUACACACCGCCCGUCAAG
rnacentral:rRNA from 1 species